GAUGAAGAACGUAGCGAAAUGCGAUAAGUAAUGUGAAUUGCAGAAUUCAGUGAAUCAUCGAAUCUUUGAACGCACCUUGCGCCCUUUGGCCAUUCCGAAGGGCAUGCCUGUUUGAGUAUCAUGAACACCUCAACUCUUUAUGGUUUUCCAUGAUGAGCUUGGACUCUGGGGGUUUUGCUGGCUCACAGUCGGCUCCUCUAAAAUGAAUCAGCUUACCAGUGUUUGGUGGGUAUCAUGGGUGUGAUAACUAUCUACGCUUGUGGUUUUUCCACCAGGUAACCUUCAGCAGUGGAGGUUCGCUGGAGCUCAUAGAUGUCUCUCCUCAGUGAGGACAGACCUUUGAAUGUUUGAUCUCAAAUCAGGUAGGACUACCCGCUGAACUUAAGCAUAUCAAUAAGCGGAGGA
rnacentral:misc_RNA from 1 species